AAGUCGUAACAAGUUUUCCGUAGGUGAACCUGCGGAAGGAUCAUCAGAAAUGUGGCCGGGGGCCGUCGGCAAAACCCCUUUUCGGGGUUGCCCGCGGCCAGGCCUAUCGGGAACUGAACGCGUCUUGAGCGUAGCUCUGAUCACAGCUUGCGCAUUGGUCGGUGCCCACCCCUCUGGGGUGCACCGACCAUUGAAAAAACCACAACUUUUGACAACGGAUCUCUUGGCUCUC
rnacentral:misc_RNA from 1 species